UGGCUCAGAUUGAACGCUGGCGGCAUGCCUUACACAUGCAAGUCGAACGGUAACGCGGGGCAACCUGGCGACGAGUGGCGAACGGGUGAGUAAUAUAUCGGAACGUGCCCAAUUGUGGGGGAUAACGUAGAGAAAUUUACGCUAAUACCGCAUACGAUCUAAGGAUGAAAGCGGGGGAUCGCAAGACCUCGCGCAAUUGGAGCGGCUGAUAUCAGAUUAACUUGUUGGUGAGGUAAAAGCUCACCAAGGCGACGAUCUGUAGCUGGUUUGAGAGAACGACCAGCCACACUGGGACUGAGACACGGCCCAGACUCCUACGGGAGGCAGCAGUGGGGAAUUUUGGACAAUGGGCGAAAGCCUGAUCCAGCAAUGCCGCGUGCAGGAAGAAGGCCUUCGGGUUGUAAACUGCUUUUGUACGGAACGAAACGGUCUGCCCUAAUACGGCGGGCUAAUGACGGUACCGUAAGAAUAAGCACCGGCUAACUACGUGCCAGCAGCCGCGGUAAUACGUAGGGUGCGAGCGUUAAUCGGAAUUACUGGGCGUAAAGCGUGCGCAGGCGGUUAUGUAAGACAGUUGUGAAAUCCCCGG
rnacentral:rRNA from 1 species